rnacentral:rRNA from 1 species
UAUGGUAAUUGUGGCCGCCGCGGUAAUACGUAGGGGGCAAGCGUUAUCCGGAUUUACUGGGUGUAAAGGGAGCGUAGACGGCAAGGCAAGUCUGAUGUGAAAACCCAGGGCUUAACCCUGGGACUGCAUUGGAAACUGUCUGGCUCGAGUGCCGGAGAGGUAAGCGGAAUUCCUAGUGUAGCGGUGAAAUGCGUAGAUAUUAGGAAGAACACCAGUGGCGAAGGCGGCUUACUGGACGGUAACUGACGUUGAGGCUCGAAAGCGUGGGGAGCAAACAGG